UGCUUUUUGCUAUCAAUACAAUCGGUAUCUGCAGUUGCUCAGAUAGUAAAGACUUCUAUCCACCCUGCGUAAGGUGAUGAAGUGGUGAUAUUAGAGUUUGAGAUGGAAACAAUUACUGUGCCUAGAGCAAAAGAAAGACUUGGGAAUGACAAAUAAUCGGAAAGGGAGAAAAUUAAGAUAUUUCAGCAGUGUGAAUGUACCGAUAGCAACAAGAAUGUCUGAAGUUAAUAAACAAUGCUACACUACAAAUAUCUUAUACAGAGGACAAGAAAAUGCAAAUGAACUUUGGGGAUUUGCUUUGAGGGAAUUCUGCAGUCUGCAGGCCGCCUUCUCACAGUAUAUGACACAAAGCCUCAAUAGUUGUCAACCACCUCCU